rnacentral:lncRNA from 1 species
UUUCGAACCGAGCAAAACAAGGAUUUUGUAACUGAACUUUGAGCUCCCCUGUCUUUACGUCUAGACUGUAACUCUCCACGUUGUCUGGAAAUAAACCACCUGGUAAACCACGAGCUUCGAGGAGGUUUCGGAUUGAGGAUUGUGAAGAUGGAGUGAUGAAUGGGAGUAGAAGAAGAGCAAGAAGAAGAAACAGAGACAUUUUCUUGCUUUUUUUUGGUUGGAUUGUGAGAUUUGCGUUUUGAAAGGUUUAAAUGUUUGGUGUUGUGUUUUUGUCAAGAGAGUGGAGAAAUGAGUUGUCAUUUUUAUCUUAUGAGCUGGUUAGCAAUGAGUGGUGAUUAUUCAAAAAUACAUAAUAUUAAUAAUAUAUAUAUAUAUAUAUAUAAUAUUAAAAGAUGAAUAAUAUCAUUAGGGGUUGUACUAACUAUUUGAAAUCAUAGUCUUUUCCCGUAGGCCAUGUUGAACUAAUUGACGUGGUAACAUCCGCAAAUCACGGUUUGUUUCCUGGAAACAUUAUAAUGGAUUUUCUUCAAAACAUAAAUUAGUGGAUUUUAAGUACCACUCAUGGUUAAGCGUAACACACACACAUUAGUCAUACUUUUAUGUUGAUUGUUGUUGUUGAUUAUCACAAAAACUACAAGGAAACUAAACUUAUCACCAAAUGUCACCAUCUGAUUUUGAUUAUGAAGUAUCUUCUCUGCUAUUGUGUCAAACCUUGAAGCCCAACAAGGCCACCAUAGCUAAGAUUUGCUUUAAUCACACUAUCAAAGUAUACUCUAUUUUCGAACCGAGCAAAACAAGGAUUUUGUAACUGAACUUUGAGCUCCCCUGUCUUUACGUCUAGACUGUAACUCUCCACGUUGUCUGGAAAUAAACCACCUGGUAAACCACGAGCUUCGAGGAGGUUUCGGAUUGAGGAUUGUGAAGAUGGAGUGAUGAAUGGGAGUAGAAGAAGAGCAAGAAGAAGAAACAGAGACAUUUUCUUGCUUUUUUUUGGUUGGAUUGUGAGAUUUGCG